ensembl:snoRNA small nucleolar RNA, C/D box 127
CGGCAACCGUGAUGACCGCUCUUGACUCUGCAGUGAACAUCGCUGUGACAUGGAGACACCAGUCCCUCUAAACUGACGUUGCCA